UGGCAGGCCAUGUAACUGAAGUUAUGAGAGAAACUAUGCAAUCAUUCCUGGUCUUCAGUUACAUGCCUAGAUGUAUGAGAAAUGGUCAGAGGAUGGAACUUUUCUGGGCUUGAUCCUGAUUCAAGUAAUGGUUUCACAAGAUUGUGAUCCAGGCCAGGCACCAUCCGCUGAAGGCUGGUUAACUGUUCAAGUCAUUUGGUAAUGAGUAGAGGCAAACUAGGAAAUGCAGUUUACCCCUGAACAAAGUGUAAUUUCAUG
rnacentral:misc_RNA from 1 species